GACGAACGCUGGCGGCGUGCCUAACACAUGCAAGUCGAACGGAACUGUUUUGAAAGAUUUCUUCGGAAUGAAUUUGAUUUAGUUUAGUGGCGGACGGGUGAGUAACGCGUGAGUAACCUGCCUUCAAGAGGGGGAUAACAUUCUGAAAAGAAUGCUAAUACCGCAUGAUAUAUCGGAACCACAUGGUUUUGAUAUCAAAGAUUUUAUCGCUUGAAGAUGGACUCGCGUCCGAUUAGUUAGUUGGUGAGGUAACGGCUCACCAAGACCGCGAUCGGUAGCCGGACUGAGAGGUUGAACGGCCACAUUGGGACUGAGACACGGCCCAGACUCCUACGGGAGGCAGCAGUGGGGGAUAUUGCGCAAUGGGGGCAACCCUGACGCAGCAACGCCGCGUGAAGGAUGAAGGUUUUCGGAUUGUAAACUUCUUUUAUUAAGGACGAAAAAUGACGGUACUUAAUGAAUAAG
rnacentral:rRNA from 1 species